UUUUUAUUUCUUUGCUAAUAAGCUCAUUCAAAGGAUGUAAGAGAAAGGUGGGAUGAACGAGCAUCAUUCAAAGUUGAACUAAGAUGUUUUGGUAUUUGA